CGGAAGAGUGUUGUUUCUAUCAGGGAGGUGGCUGCAUCAGGAAGCGACGGAGUCUCAGACCUGGACCAGAACCAGAACUUGUAGCAAUACCAGUACCAGUACCAAGACCGGGACCGCACACCAAGACUACAACCGCUACAAUCACUAGACGUGAACCAGGAAAUCGCGUUUAGAUUCAUAAAUUUAUCAUCGGAAAAGUGACCGAAUUGCUGCUUCAGUCGUACGUUACCAACCUGCCCCAAACAGGGAAGUGACGCUGUCAGGUGAAGUCGGGCUCGAGCCACAGGUGUGUUUUCUUCAGAGGAUUGUCCAGUAGAAGAACAAAAUGAGCGGAGGAGUGAACAGCAUCGAGGCCGUGAAGAAGAAGAUCAAAGUGCUGCAGGAGCAGGCAGAGGAGGCGGAGGAGAGGGCUGAGAGGCUGCAGAAGGAGGUGGAGAAGGAGAAGAGGAGCAGAGAGGAGGCGGAGAGCGAGGUGUCGUCACUGGGUCGUCGUCUGCAGCUUUCUGAGGAAAAUGUGGACCGAGCUCAGGAGAGACUAUCUGCGGCGCUGCACAAACUGGACGAGGUGGAGAAGGCAGCGGAUGAGAGCGAGAGAGGCAUGAAAGUGAUAGAGAACAGAGCUCUGAAGGAUGAGGAGAAGAUGGAGCAUCUGGAGGUCCAGCUGAGAGAAGCCAAACAGAUUGCAGAGGAAGCUGACAGGAAGUACGAGGAGGUGGCUCGUAAACUGGUGAUGGUGGAGGGAGAACUGGAACGAGCUGAAGUGAGGUCGGAUCAGGCAGAGAGGUUUGUAACAUGCCGUCAUCAUGUCCAGUAUGUUAGAGCUACUCACUCCACCGGUCAAAGUGGAUUCAUUUUUCUCUUCUGUCUAAUGAGCAAGGAACCCCUCAGAAUGCACAUGGCCAUGAAACUGAACCAGCACAGAACAUUAAUCCAAGUCACUUAUUUUAUGGCUCAUUUUGACGGCAUACGUGAACGUUCAACAAUCUUAGUUGAUUGUUGUAAUUUAGACUGUACAGUCAAUUCUGAAACGGAGUCUAUUUGGUUUCAUAUGUAUCUGGACAGGUUGUCAUGUUGGUUCUGUUCAUCACCUUAGUUGUUGCAAAGUGAAACAAUCAUAUGUUCAUAGUAUCACCUUACAGAUUGGAGCCAUUAAAUCGAGUCUUCUCAGCUAUUCUAGAUGGGAUCCAGUCCCUUAAGGUCAACUGAUCAGAGGUCCAGUUACCUUCAAGUGCCCCAUCUGUAGAUGUAAUAGUUGGACAAAUCCAGAGCCAGUGUAACCAGUAUAACCAUAACAACUGCUCCUAGAUAAAAUGCGAGGAGCAGAGUUUGCACCAGCUCACCCUCAGGAGUAGGUUCCUGAUUCCAACAGGACUUGUUCAGUGUUACGUAGCAAAUCAUUCACUGAUUUGAGGGUUUCUGUGGACGUCAGUGCUUGCUCCUCAUCCCCUGUCCUGCUCCUUCACAUAUUCCACAGGUGUUAGCCGCUAGCUGAAGCACUCUAAUGUGUGAUGUGAUGGGUUUAAUGACGAGUCUAAGUGCUUCAGUUCGGGGUCAGAAAUGAACCCUUUGUCCUUUCUGAGGUGGAGACCUUUAGAAACAGUAGGACUUUCUAAGAAUUCUAAGCUCAGCUGCUGUCGGCAGCAGCUUCUCUGCUUUUGAACAGACUGGUGACCUGUAGCUACUGCGUCCAGUUCGUAACAAACCGUAAACUUCUCCAUGUUUCACUCCAGCCGGCUUUAGUAGUGUACCUCUGUGUUCAUAAGCUUCAGGGUGAUGAAGCUUGUAGCCAGACCAGCUGCUGUAGGAUGAAACACCCAUAUGGGACCGACUGGAAGAGCUGAGAAAUAACGUCCAGCCUAACUUCACUUACUAGUUAUUGGGUCUGUUAAUCUCCUGAUCAGCUAAGGUGUCCACAGAACUGACAUAGUGGAAUCUGUGUGGACUUACCUGUAUUACUCAUGACGCCUGCUUACCGCAUGCCGCUGCUCCUGACUGGUAGAAAAGUAGCCAUACCCUUUUAACCUGAAAGCAGAGCUAUGUAAACAUGAGAGUCUGGUAAGGCAGAGGAACGUGAUGAUAGCGCUGAUAAUUCCUUACCAACUCUGACUGGCAUCUUCUUCUCCUGUUUCCAUGGAAACACUGUUGCUGCCGCACCUGCAUGUCCAUCUCCACCUGCCUUCUCCUGUCUGUCUCUCCCAAACCUGUCUGCCUACCGCAACUUGUCUCACAGUAAAGUUCGGAGGUUGGAGGAGCAGUUGAGGAGUUUCGACCAAUCGCUGAAGAGCCUGCAGGCGUCAGAGGACAAGUAUUCCCACAAGGAGGACAGGUAUGAAGAGGAGAUCAGGAAGCUCAGCAGUAAACUGAAAGAGGUGAGA